AUGAGUUGUUUCCACCUCACAAAGAAAACGUGCCAGAAUCUGAAUUCUAUCUCGUCGAAAUUCUGGUGGGGGGCAAAGGAUGGUGAGAAAAAAGUACAUUGGAUUUCAUAACAAAAGAUGUGCACCUCUAAACGGGAUGGAAGGAUGGGUUUUCGUGACCCGAUAGCGUUUAAUCAGGCUCUACUUGCAAAGCAAGCAUGGCGUGUCCUACAAUGCCCGGAGUCGUUGGUAGCAAGAGUGCUCAAGGCGCGCCACUUCAAAGAGAAAUCCAUAUUGAGCGCAACGUGUCCUGCUACGACUUCAUACACUUAUAUAAGCAUUUUGCAUGGCCGGGAUCUACUUCGAGAAGGCCUGGUUUGGAGAAUUGGAGACGGCUCCAAUGUGAGUAUACAUCACAGUAACUGGAUCCCGAGGAGCGGGUCCAUGAAGCCGUUGGGACAGAUAUAUAUCCCUAGCGUGACUAAGGUGGCCGACCUCCUUUUACCGGAUGGAAGAAGCUGGAAUCACGACCGAGUCAGGGAGAUGUUCACCCCGGACGAUGCAACUGACAUUUUGUAG
rnacentral:rRNA from 1 species